rnacentral:rRNA from 1 species
AGCAGCCGCGGUAAUUCCAGCUCCAAUAGCGUAUAUUAAAGUUGCUGCAGUUAAAAAGCUCGUAGUUGAAUUUCGGGACCAAUAUGUCGGUCGUGCCUCGGUACGUACUGGCAUCGUUGGUUUCUCCCUUCUGACGAACCAUGAUGUCAUUUAUUUGGUGUCGUGGGGAAUCAGGACUGUUACUUUGAAAAAUUAGGGUGUUUAAAGCAGGCUCACGCUUGAAUACAUUAGCAUGGAAUAAUGAAAUAGGACGUUUGAUUCUAUUUUGUUGGUUUCUAGGAUCGACGUAAUGAUUAAUAGGGAUAGUUGGGGGCAUUAGUAUUCAAUUGUCAGAGGUGAAAUUCUUGGAUUUAUUGAAGACUAACUACUGCGAAAGCAUUUGCCAAGGAUGUUUUCAUUAAUCAAGAACGAAAGUUAGGGGAUCGAAGACGAUCAGAUACCGUCGUAGUCUUAACCAUAAACUAUGCCGACUAGGGGUCGGAUGAUGUUAAUUUUUAAUGACUCA